rnacentral:rRNA from 1 species
UACGAACCGUACAAACGUUAUUCGGAAUCACUGGGCUUAAAGGGUGCGUAGGCGGCCAUGUAAGUGAGGUGUGAAAUCCCUCGGCUCAACCGAGGAACUGCGCUUCAUACUGCAUGGCUUGAGGGAGACAGGGGUAAGCGGAACUGAUGGUGGAGCGGUGAAAUGCGUUGAUAUCAUCAGGAACACCGGUGGCGAAAGCGGCUUACUGGGUCUCUUCUGACGCUGAGGUACGAAAGCUAGGGUAGCGAACGGGAUUAGAUACCCCGGUAGUCCUAGCUGUAAACGAUGAGCACUUAUCUGGGGAUCCUCCCAUAGGUUCCCGGAUGUAGCGAAAGUGUUAAGUGCUCCGCCUGGGGAGUAUGGUCGCAAGGCUGAA